GUCUACGGCCAUGCCACCCUGAACAAGCCCCAUCCUGUCUGAUCUCGGAAGCUAAGCAGGGUUGGGCCUGGUUAGUACUUGGAUGGGAGACCACCUAGGAAGACCAGGUGCUGUAGGUG
rnacentral:rRNA from 1 species